UACGUAGGGGGCAAGCGUUGUCCGGAAUUAUUGGGCGUAAAGGAGCGCGUAGGCGGUCCGAUAAGUCGGCUGUGAAAGUCAGGGGCUACAACCCUUGGAAAGCCGGCCCGAUAUGUCGGAUAGAGUCCGGAAGAGGCAAGUGGAAUUCCCGGGUGUAGCGGUGAAAUGCGCAGAUAUCGGGAGGAACACCAAUGGCGAAGGCAGCUUGCUGGGACGGUACUGAACGCUGAGGCGGCGAAAGCGUGGGGAGC
rnacentral:rRNA from 1 species